rnacentral:rRNA from 1 species
GACGAACGCUGGCGGCGUGCUUAACACAUGCAAGUCGAACGGAAAGGCCCUGCUUUUGUGGGGUGCUCGAGUGGCGAACGGGUGAGUAACACGGGAGUAACCUGCCCUUGACUUUGGGAUAACUUCAGGAAACUGGGGCUAAUACCGGAUAGGAGCUCCUGCUGCAUGGUGGGGGUUGGAAAGUUUUGGCGGUUGGGGAUGGACUCGCGGCUUAUCAGCUUGUUGGUGGGGUAGUGGCUUACCAAGGCUUUGACGGGUAGCCGGCCUGAGAGGGUGACCGGCCACAUUGGGACUGAGAUACGGCCCAGACUCCUACGGGAGGCAGCAGUGGGGAAUAUUGCACAAUGGGCGGAAGCCUGAUGCAGCAACGCCGCGUGCGGGAUGACGGCCUUCGGGUUGUAAACCGCUUUCGCCUGUGACGAAGCGUGAGUGACGGUAAUGGGUAAAGAAGCACCGGCUAACUACGUG